UUUUGGGUGCGAUUCUGUGGAGUGUGAGGAGCUAAACACCUUCAUGCYUUGCAUAUUCGUACUCUUGGGUGUACUUGCCCGUGUGGUUGGUUAACAUCAAUUUUGGUCGUCAUAAAAUGAUUGGAGGAAUGUAGCUUCGAUCUCGUAUUGAAGUGUUAUAGCCUUUGGUAGAUGUGAUGAUCGGGAUUGAGGAUUGCAACGGAUACCCUUCGGGGCUACCUGUCUGAUCUCUGAUUGUUGCUUUGGUGCUGAAAGCGUGCUUAUGGUUAUCAAAGUCGAUGGUUAAUAGGUUAGAAUGGGUUAAA
rnacentral:rRNA from 1 species